rnacentral:rRNA from 1 species
AUUGACCGCUGGCGGCAGGCCUAACACAUGCACGUCGAACGAGUGGCGGACGGGUGAGUAAUGUCUGGGAAACUGCCUGAUAGAGGGGGAUAACUACUGGAAACGGUAGCUAAUACCGCAUACCAUCGGAUGUCCACCGAUGGGAUUAGGUAGUAGGUGGGGGAAAGGCGCACCUAGGCGACGAUCACUAGCUGGUCUGCGAGGAUGAACAGCCACACUGGAACGUGGACAAGGUCCAGACUCCUACGGGAGGGAGCAGUGGGGAAUAGUGCACAAUGGGCGCAAGCCUGAUGCAUCCAUGCCGCGUGUAUGAAGAAGGCCUUCGGGUUGUAAAGUACUUUCAGCGGGGAGGCGUUACCCGCAGAAGAAGCACCGGCUAACUCCGUGCCAGCAGCCGCGGUAAUUC